GACUCGGUGGCGCAUUGGUGCGCGUCCACGAGGCGUGGAAGGUUAGCACCCAGACCAGAUUUGUGUGGAAGAUGUCUGUUCGACCCAGGCCCGAGUCG